rnacentral:tRNA from 1 species
GGGCCGUUAGCUCAGCUGGUUAGAGCGUACGCAUGGCAUGCGUGAGGUCGCGGGUUCGACUCCCGCACGGUCCACUA